GAAUGAAGAGGGAAAGCAACCACACACCUGCAUCCAUAACCACGCGUCGUUGAUAAUAGGUAAAGGGAAUGAACAGGGAAAGCAACCACACACCUGCAUCCAUAACCACGCGUCGUUGCCUUAGGAUCUUUGAUCCCACGUGUUCAUUCCCUCUACCUGUUAUGUUAAAGAGUUAUGAACAAUAGAGAGAGAGAUUGAAGGGUUGGACCGGUGACCUCCCUACGGAUGCAUUUGGAGUCGAUUGACCAGUGUUUGGUGGUGAACGAUCACGGCAGUAGUCACGAGAGUGAUACGAUGACGGUUUAAGAGGGGAAUCCGUUGGUGGCGGGUGCAAAGGCGUUCUUGGAUCGACUUGAACUUCCGGCGAAUAAACCCAGGUUUCUGGCGAAGCUCCGUUGAACCGAUCAAGACUUGCAUGUUUCAGAUCUCUGUUAAUCGGAAGGGUUUAUAGGGAAGUACAUAGGAGUGGGGUCGGAGGGGUCGGAUUCGAGAUAACAUCUCAUGUCCAGAAGGGGCAACAAGCUGAGAAAACUGAGGUGCUGGGCUGGGUCAGUUGGCCACAAAUCUCAAACCAAUGGUCAUAACCAGAAGAUCCGCAACCACAAAAUGUUCAAUCGUCAAUGCCUCCCACUUCAAAACCCUAAAUCCUCUACAACAGCAACAAGUCCACCUCUACAUUGACGCUCUUCUCGAUUGGAACCAGAAAAUGAAUCUCACAGCGGUUAGAGAUGCAAAUGAUGUUAUGGAUAGGCACAUUGAGGACUCACUUGCAAUUAUACCUCCGAUUCGAAGCUCGUAUGUAUCGAAUUGUGAUACUACCGUUGAAAAACUUAAUUUGGUAGAUGUUGGAAGUGGUGCUGGACUUCCUGGAUUGAUAUUAGCCAUUGCUUGUCCCGUUGAGCCAUGUUUUUGGAAACCAGGUGUAUGGCUUAUGUCAACCCACUUAGCACGCAUAAAAAACCCACCGUCUGCUCCAUCGACAAAGAGAGAAGAAACUGAAGAGAUGGGAGACAGAAACGGAGUAGGCUCACCGGCGUCGACAUGACAGAGGGGAUCCGCCGUGCAUGGCGGCAGGGUUUACGGCAGCUCUCCGGCGUCCACAACAGGUUAUGUAUUCUUAUAUCUUUUCAGUUACUGUUGGUUAAAACCCCUCUUUUUCACUUUCAAAAUUCUAUCUUUUUUUUGUAUUGAUUCAUCAAGAGCAGAACAUGGCCAUAUUAAAUGAGGAUGCAGUGGUGAUUAAAGAAGCAUAACAGUAGUAGACAACACUCUCAUCACUGCAAAUUGUUCAAAUAAAACAUGCCUCGGUGGGCACCGGCUUCAAGCAAAAGAUUCAACUUCACACACACUAAAAACGCCUCAACAAACCCUCUUUAAAAAUUAUUAAGGUUGGAGAUGAAAAACAUGUGAUGGCGAUUUAUUUGUGUGCUUACCUUUGGUUGAGCAUCAAUGUAUAGUUGGUACCCUAUCAAGAUGAUACAUAUUAGAUAUUACUCAAAGGUUAUGUCUCUUAGUCUCAUAUUGCGUUUUAAAAGCGAUAUGUCUCUAGAAUCAAAAGGGGAUAGACUAGGCAAAUCAUGUAAUCAAGAGUCACUUAUUUUAUGUUAUUAAAAGAAAAGUAAAGGGUAAAAUACAAAGUCUGCCACUUAUGUUUAGAGUGAUUUGUUGAUAAUUCCUUUAAUUUUAAUAAAUAUAAAUCGUCCCUAAAGUUUAUAUAGUAAUUUGCAGAUGAUGUCCUUUAUUUUUAAUAAGUACAUUGACUGAAUCUUAAGCUUGCCUAGGACCUCCUAAAGGUUGAACCUCUCCUACUAACGACUAUGUAUAGGCUUCAACUUUUUAUUCACAAGAAGAGAAAGAAAGUGAGGCUGCUGCAAUUGGAGAUAAGGUGAUUAGGCAGCUUAUUCGGGAGAUUAUAUGUGUUUAAUUACGUUAUAAGGAUUCAAUGGACGCACGCGUGCCACCAUGAAUUCAGGUACGAAGAGUCGCCGAAUGGACCAAAGAAAUGGGGAUCUCUUGGUGCGGAAUUCAAAUCUGGCUCGGAUAGGGAACCGCAGUCUCCUGUUAAUAUCGAGUUUAAAAAAAAGCAAAAGAUCAACCAAGUGACUUGAAAAGGUCUUACACAGUAGUCCUUGCAAACUUUUCAAUAGAGGCCACACUAUCAUGAUAUUGUUAUUGUUUAGGUUGAAUUUGUAUUGAGCAUGGGUUGAAUGACAAAGGGAUGCAUGAGGAAGAGAGGUGAAUGGUUCAACAUACCAGCUAAUGCCAUUGGCAUACACCUUCUGAGCACACUAUUGACGGGAUAAGCAUGUCGAAUCGCCUUCGAUCUUAUGGGCAUGGACUAUAUGCAUUUUGUUGACAAGUUGAUUAAGUUGUUGUGCAUCAUUUUCUUUUGUUUUUAUAGGUAUGAAGCAGAAAUAUAUUUCGUUCAUAUCAAUGACGAAUAUCAAAACGCUGCCAUUGUCAUUAUUUAAACCAUCCUUUUAUUGAAAAGGUAGCACCUUUUCUGAAACAUGCAAAAGGAAGCAUAACAAGGAUGAUUUGGUCAUAGGUAAGGUAGGUGGUGUUUCAUGAAGAAGUUGGUAACAAUUUAGAAAUUGUAUUUGUAACUACAUAGAAGUUAUGUAUUUGUAACAGUUAUAUUUAAUAGAUUUGUAUAUUUUACAAGUGUC